rnacentral:rRNA from 1 species
AGCUCCAAUAGCGUAUAUUAAAGUUGUUGCAGUUAAAAAGCUCGUAGUUGGACUUUGGGGCGUUGUGCACGGGCCGCCGAAAGGCGUGCGCUGGGCGCGGCGCUCUUCCUUCCGUAGACUCUGUCUGUUCUUAACUGAGUGGGCAGUUGGAUGCGGAUCGUUUACUUUGAAUAAAUUAGAGUGUUCAAGGCAGGCUUUUG